UCUGCAAAGAAAGUAAAUACUGUCACUUUUAAUUUAAAAAUAUUUCCUCAAAUAUUGACUUAUAUGUCAAAUAUUGAAAAAUAUUUAUGAAUAAUCAUAAUAACUAAUCAGAACUAGAAUCUAAAAGUCUUAAGUCCUGAUAUUUUAUCGGAUGAAGGAAAUUUUAUAGAAUACUUACAAUAAUGUAUUAUUGACUUGCUCUUAAAAUAUGUUAUCAGUAAAAUAUAAUUACUAAAGUGUUACAUAAAACAAAAUAUACUGAGAACAUAUGUUAGCUUAGAGCUAAUAAAUUUAUCAUUUAUGAUUUGUCAAUAUUUAUAGAACCCCAUUUAUAAGAAGACUACAUAUUUAUUUAUAUGUCCUCUUACUUAAAAGAUUCUACUUAUACAUACAUUAAAUAUAAAAUAUUUUGAUGAUUACAUAAUGUCAUUUGAAAGGCAUAAAAGAUGAAUAUAAAAAUUUCGAAAUAUUCUCAAGUGCUUUUUCACUGAGGUCAUUGGGGAAUAUAUAAUUCAUACCCAGAAGACUUCAUAUUCAAUGGAGUAAGCUUUCAGGAGGACUCAUUGAUGGAAAUACUUGGAAAAAUCAGAAAAAGAAAGGCAAAGUCCAUUUUAGGGUCUGGAAUAAAAUAUAAGCCCCUAAAUUAGCAGUGACAGGGAUGCAGAGGAUUGGCUAUCAGCUAGUGCGUUGAUAUGGUAUGUAGCCCUGUUGGGAAAAGAAAAUAAGAUUUAAGAAAGAAGUCAAAUACUUAUGCUCUGUGUCAUAGAAACCUAAUAGGGUACUGGAUAGGGAUGGGCCUAGAUGGUGCUGAUUUUCAGGUAAACAGAAGCACCCACAGGACCAAGAAGACCCUGUGCACAUAUACAUGUAAGCAAUGCGUAAUUGAGUUCACUGACAUUAUGUUGGUCAUUUUGUGUAUUAUUGUAGUGAUUUUAGUGAGCCCAGCUCUCUGACAUUGAACAAUCCAUUAGAAAUAUACUCCUUGACAAGAUUAUAUUAUUUAAAAGCAACAUAGAUUACUAUAAUGUAAACCAAAUGCUAUGGCCCAUACCCUUAGCUACAGAAUUGUUGGCCGUUGGUGUAGUCAAUAACUGUGAGAUGUAUUAAAACCAUCUCUUUUUGCAUCAUGAUACAAUAAAGUAGUACUAAUUAAACUACCAUAAUGUUCCUUCAUGGGAUUAAAAAGGCUAGGAACAUGCUUUGAGCAUUAACCCUGCCAACGUGCUUAUGUUAUCAAGGAUAUGAGAAAUAGUCUGUAAAAUCUCCCUAUACAGUGAACACCUUUUUAUUUUAUUUCACCAAAGAAACAAGCUCACUUGAGAAAAAGCAGUAAGUUCAAUAUAAUUUGCAGAGCAGAGCCAUUUGUAACACUGACUCUAAGGACAGGCAAGAAUAUCUGUGUUUCUCAGGCAUGCUCCUGAAAGAAGGCAAUGCACAGCAAUGUACCCAUCUGUGCAUAUGGUUAAUGGCAUAUGCCCAUGUGCCCUUCUCAGUAUUGGGUGGGACCUCAUCUGGCUUAAACCUGUGCAGUCCCUAUGAAUGCUGCCACAGUCUCCGAGAAUUCUUAUAAAAAGUACCCCUGCUGUAUCUUCAUGAUGCCAUUUCCUUGGCCCUACACCUUCUGCUUCCUUUUCCACAUCGAUCGCCGAGUCUUGAGCAAAAUGCUUUGAUGACGACAUCAGAUACAGAAUUGAGUGUGUCAACACCUUUCACUGUCUACACUUUGUCCAGUGCAGGUCUCUAUGUUAAUUCCUUUUUCCUACAGGAAGAAGCUUCUAUGGGGAGGAUUGAACAAACCAUAGGUAUAACAAUAUUUCCUUAGGAGUCAUUUUCAUUGCUAUGUUCCUUCAGCGGAAUAUAGUAUUAGGUUUUCCCCUACAGUCAUAAUCUGUCUAGUCUCAGGUUCUUGGCCACUGUAGCAGUGUUGAUGUCAGAUAUAGGUCCCAUCUCAUGGAGUGGAUGUGAAAUCCACUCAGUAAGUGCUUCACUGCUCCUAGAACAUUUGUGCCACGAUUGCCCUAGCAUUUCACACAAAAUUAGGAACAUGACUUUUUCUUAAAAAUACAAAUUUUUAAAGUAAAGUGCAAGUGUGAUAUAUAUAUAUAUAUAUAUAUAUAUAUAUAUACAUAUAUAUGUGUGUGUAUAUAUAUACUGUUUUCUGUAUGCAAUAUUUCAUUUCUUAAAUACAGCAAGCUCAAAAUGAAUAAGAAUUUCAUGGUUUACAAUCUCAGUAGAAAAGUUACAUCUAAGACAGAAAAACGACUUCUCAUGUGAUUCUUAAACAGUUUACAGUGAUUGAGACACAUGUUCCUAAGUCAAGAAAGAACUAGUCCCCUGAUACAUGUGGAAAAAGUUAUGUUGGUUCCUAAUCUCUUCCUGAAUGGCUCAGUGCUUCCACAAUCCUACUAGAUAAUGUGUUGUUUCCAUGUGAAGUUUUCUAUUGUGUUUCACUAGGUUUAGAAAUGCUCAGACUUCUGUCACAAGCCGCUAUUGAGGAAGCAUGGAUAACAUCAUGGCCAAGAAAUGCUCAGCAUAUUGAAGGAAUAUUUAAUGUGCUGCAAUGACUUCAAAUCACAAAUGUAUAUGUGAUCGAAAAUAGCAUAAAACUCUAGAUGUGUUUCCUUUGACCCUUCCAAUUCAGGAUCAUUUGGGGCCGGAAACUUGUAUUACUAACAUGCAAGUCUCAAUGGGAUAACACUAUCCUUUGAGUAUUAUGCAAAUGAGAUUUCUUCUAAUGUUGUUUCUUUAAACAACCAUGGUGUAUCAGCAGACCUCUCUAAAACAUAGUUAUAAAGGAUCCAAUAUGUUAAGCAAAGAACCAUUAUUUCAAAGCUUUGCAUGGUCUCAUAGAGAAUAGAGAGAUCCUCCACAGGACUGAGGUAAGUUACAUACAUGUCUUUUAGCCAUUUUGAGUUUUGCAAAAGCCUGCAUCUCAGUACUCCCCAUUGUUAUACCUGUAAUUAAAUCUAUUCUUUGAUCUUCUGCUUUUAAUCAUAUAUUCAAUCUAAGAACUAAAGAAUGAGGUGACUUCCACUUUUUUUGGUAAAUGAAUAAAGCACUUUUCAUGGAAUUUUCUAUAUUCUAUUUUUGGUUAAAGUGAAUCAGGAGCAUUCUAUUAUUAAGAUUUAUGAAAAUAAUAAAUGAUUAGGAAAUUAAAAAUGAUCUUAUGUUCUUGAAUUACCUAUAAAGUCUACCCCUGCCUCUACUUUCCAAAGAUUAUUUGACCCUAUUCUUCCACAUAGGAUGAAGCUGCCAUUGUCCUUGGUUGGUUAAGUUAGUCUUGACAAUGAUAUUUCUUUAAUUCUAGUUCUUCUUAUAUACACUUUCCCAAAAAAUCUGUUAAGGUAGCAUAUGCUUAUCCAUAUCUGUUAUUUAAGGCAAAAAAGAAAGAGAAUAACUUAGGACUAUGACUUUAAGUGCAUUUUUUAAUUCUCAAAAGGUUCAUUGUGAUUUAAGGAUCAGUUACUGGCUUUGUACUUUUGGGUGUUGGUGAAACCUUUUAGAAUGGGGCACGUUAGGAUGUCCUUAGAUAGUUUUUCAUUCUCAUGACAUUAUUCUUAGAUAAACCCUUUGAUAGUACUCAUCAGGUUGUUCUUAUAAAGGGAACAUGUAAAUCAACUUCAUAGCUGUGAUACAAUGCCUGAGUAAUGAGAGUUUAAAGGUGAAAAGGAUUGGUUCUAACAGUCUGUUUAAGAGGGUCUAUGGAGACUUGGCUCUGCUUCAUGUGGGCCUCUGGUUAGACAGGGCAUCACGGCAGGGGACAUGUAUGGAGGUAUGUUAGCAUACUUCAUGUUGGAGGGAGCACAGGUAGUAAAAUAAUAGAACUGGAAAUAAAUCAAAGCCUUUAAGGACAUAAUCCCAAGGACCCAGUUCUGUUAGCAACUUCUCAUCUAGUUUUCCAUCUCAUUCUAAUAGCUCAUGAAAAUACGAUCCCAUCAAUGGGUUAAAUCAUUGAGAGGUUCAGAGUCUUCAUAAUCUAGUCACUUUGUCAAAGCAGCUAAGCAUCUAUAAAGGACAUGACAUUCAGAGGAAAUUGCCAAUAUAAAUCAAGACUAAGAAGGUAGCAAAUGCUGCAGAUGCCCUUUGAUGGACAAUGUGUCAAAUAAAUUGCAGACAUGCCUUACUGUCACUAUUGUGUUCAUGGUACUCUGUAAAUUAUAUGCUUCAAAGCAUCAGGCUCCCUGGAUGCCUUAACUCCAUUUAUGUUUCUACAUUGUCUCCGUUGUUUUCAUCUUUUAUCAAAUCCUUUUCCAAGACCUCUCUCAAAUGGUUAUGUAAGCAUUUUUCGCUUCAGUUUCAAAAUUGUUAUAACAUAUUUUUUGGUCAUGAUUUAUUAUGCUGACAGAUUAAAUAAUUACAAUAUUGAGUUACAAUUCAACUUUUCUGAAGAAACGUCAAUAUGUAUUCAGUGGGGCCUGAAUUUAUACUUUCCUAGAUGCACAGAAAUAUAGUGUAAUCUCACAGAAUAUAAGAAACUCUGUUCGAAAAAGUACUAAUAUACCUAAUUGUAGUUUAUAUAUAUGAAGAGCUAUGCUUCAAAUACUUUAUUUUAAUUUUAAGCAUUUAUUAUGAAAUUAUUAAGAUGCAUUGGCAUAGCAAACAUUUCAAAAUGUUCCUUUUUAUAUGUACUAGGGAUGGGGGCAGCAGAAGGGGAAUAUUUGUCAUUGUAAACUUCCGUGACUUAACCUACUAGCAAUUUAGAAUUUAUCAGUCCUAAGUAAUAACAGCCACUAGUAUCAGUUAAGUACCUGCUAUGCACCAGAUGCCAUAUACACACUAAAGGCAUUAACAUUUUAAUGUAUGUCAUAAGAGCUGUCAAUGUGAUUCUUAGUGUUCUUCCAAAGGACUUGAGUUCAAGUUCUACCAUAUAGAUGGAGUGCUUCAAAACCAACUGUAAACCCAGCUCCAAAGGAUCUGGUAUCUUGUUCUGGCCUCCACAGACAUCCAUGCGUGCAUGUGUAUCUCUCUCUCUCUCUCUCUCUCUCUCUCACACACACACACACACACACACACACACACACACACACACACACGCACACUAGACACACACAUACACAACUCUCUUUGAGAAAAAUGUAUAAUGUGGAAGUAUGACUAUUUUAAGGAAAUAAAAUUUAGGAGAGAUAUAUUAAGCAAUUUCUCAAAUCAAGCUUCAUUUCAGCAAUAAAGUCAAGACUCAGAAAUCAGGCUGUAAAAAUUCUGUCAUAACAAAGGUAUCUUUCAAAAUUUAGCCAGAAUUCUACCAAUAGCUUACUUUUUCUAAAAUGUUUGAACUGAAAAAAAUUGAGCUACUAUGCUCCUGUUCCCCCUCUCCCUCUCCUUCUCCCUCUUCCUCUCUCUCUCCCCUCUUCCAUUUAGUUACACCCCUGGCACCUCAAGGUCUUUUCCUGACUCCCUAUCUUCAGAAAAAGUAACCCUUAGAAGCAAAAUAGCAACAAGUUCUGGUUGGAGGCAUCGUUCCUUUAUACUUGCUGAAACAGCUUUCUACAGGAAUAUUCCCACAAUAUCUCAUUUGGCAUAUAUAGCUUUUUUAAAUUGGAACAAGCUUUGGUUUUUCCUUUUGUUUGUUUUGUUGCUGUUUGUUCUGGGUAUUCAUUGUGGUUGUUCGUGUUCUUUCUUCAGUGAUCACACACAUAUGCUUAUUGAAUUUCCAAUGCUAACAUGAUGCACAGUUUAUUACUCUCUGAACAAGAAUACAAUUUGAAGGACAUGCAGAGGUUCAUUUUCCCAAAACCGAGAGACUCAGCAAACUUAGUUUGUGUGAAUUAAAGAGACAAUGAGCAGGAAGGUAAGAUACCUGUAUUAUUCCAUAUGCCUUUUCUUAAAUUAGCUUGUACAUCCUGAUUAAAUAAUAAUCCUUUGCUUAGUUUUCUAUAGAGCUAGGCGAUUGUCCUGUACAAACUCUAAUACACAUCACUGCAACUCUGCAUAGCUGUCACCCACCUCUUGGAUCACUCUUAUUUUUGCACUGUUUCUGGACUUCCUUAUUCUGUUUUGCUUAUUAGAGACUUACUCUUGCAAAAGCAUGAGGGUACAUACAUAUAUAUAUAUAUAUAUAUAUAUAUAUAUAUUUAAGAAAACUUAAGUUUAAACUAGAGUUCUUUUCUGUUUAGGACAGGAUGGGGAACUUCCUUAGCAGAAGGGGCACUCAAGCUGUGCUAUGGCAAAAAAGAGUUCUUGAAAAUUCAGGAAGUAUUUCAUUUGUGGCUGAGGGGUAAAAUCAAUUAGCUUUUAAAGUAACUCCAUUUUCUUUUUAUGAAGUAUUAAAAACUGCCUCCAGACCUGCAGGCCUGUAAAGACAAAUUCAACAUUUAAAGUUCACCUUUCAUGCUAGAAUCUUUUCAGCAUCCUUGCAAUUAAUACAUUUACUCCUGUGAAUGUAAAGAAUCACUCACGUUUAUUCUUCUGAAAUUCUGAAUGUCACAAGGACUUUUAAAGGACUCAAUUAAUUAAAAAUUUGCUAAGCAUGUUAUGUGUUUAUAUCUUACCCUUUUUGUUAUAUCUAUUCCCAAAAGUAGUGAUCAUUCUAAAUGCUUCAAGAAAAUCAAAUAUUGGCAAGUUAUUCUCUGACUGCCACAAGUACCAAUACACAUACAAACACUCUCUCUACCUCUUCAUCUUCCUCUCCUUCUCCCCCUCCCUUUCUCCCUCCCUCCCUCCCUCUUCCUCCCUUCUUCUUUCCCUCCCUCCUUUCCUCUCUCUCUCUCUCGCUCUCUCUCUCUCUUUCUCUCUCUCUCACACACACACACACACAAACACACACACAUGCCACUUUCAUGCACACAUGAACACAUGAAAACAAGAAUAUUAUUUUUAAUGGACUGUCAUUUAUUCAAUAUAGAAUAUUUUUAAGAUUGUUUUUUUAAUUAUUUUAAUUUUUAUUUCUUAAAUCAACUUAUUUUUUACACUCCAUAAUUUAUUCCCCCCACAUCCACCCUCUGACUGUUCUGCAUCCCAUACCUCCUCACCAACCUUCCAUCUCUACAUGGAUGCCCCCACCCCCACCCCACCUAGCCUCUAAACUCCCUAAGGGCUCUAGUCUCUUGAGAGUUAGGUUCAUGAUCUUUGAAUGAACACAGACCCAGAAGUCCUCUACUGUAUAUGAGUUGGGGGCCUCAUAUCAUCUGGUAUAUACCGUCUGUUUGGUGUUCCAGUGUUUAAGAGAUCUUGGGGAUCCAGAUUAAUUGAGACUGCUGGUCAUCCUGCGGGAUCACCCUUCUCCUCAGCUUCUUUCAGCCUUCCCUAAUUAAACAACAAGAAUCAGCAGCUUCUGUCUACUGGUUAGGUGCAAAUAUCUGCAUCUGACACUUUCAUCUGCUUGUUGGGUCUUCCAGAGUUCAGUCAUGUUAGGUCUCUUUUUGUGAGAGCUCCAUAGUCUCAGUUAAAGUGUCAGGCCUUGGGACUUCCCCUUGAGCUGGAUCCCACUUUGGGCCUGUGGCUGGACAUUCUUUUCCUCAGGCUUCUCUCCAUUUCCAUCCCUGUAAUUCUUUCAGACAGGAACAAUUAUGGAUCAGAGAUGUGACUGUGGGAUGGCAACCUCAUCCCUCAAUUGAUAUCCUGUCUUCCUGCUGGAAGUGGGCUCUAUAAGUUCCCUCUCAUUACUGUUGGGCAUUUCACCUAAGGUCCCUCCCUUUGAGUCCUGAGUCUCUUUCCUCCCAGGUCUCUGGUGCACUCUGGAGCAUCCUCCAACCUCCUAUUUCCUGAGGUUGCCUCUUUCCAUUCUUUCUGCUGAUCCAUAGGGCUUCAGUCCUUUUCCUUCACCCAAUACCAGAUCAGGUUCCCCUCUGAGUGAGGUAACUCAGAUCCAAAAGGACAUGCAUGGUAUGUAUUCACUAGUAAGUAGAUAUUAGCCACACACACAAAAGUACAGAAUACACAAGAUACAGUCUACAGAACUCAAAAAGUUCAACAAGAUGAAGUGUCCAAGUGAGGAUCCCUCAGUCUCACUUGGGAGAGAGAAGAAAGCAAUCACAAGUGGGGAGGGAGGGGCCUGGAUGGGAAAAUAGAGGGGAGAGGGAGGAAUAUUAUGGUUUUUCCUUCAAAAAUCAUUCUUUAUUUUUUAUUUUAUGUAUGCUAAGCAGCUAGUAUAUUUUUAUUCUCUCUGUCUACUUGAGAUUAAUAAUCCAGGGUGGUUUGACAAUUCAUUCAUUAUCAUUCAUAGUCUCCUUUUUUGUCUUCCUAAUUCCUUGUCCAUUCCUUUCUUCCCCUCCUUUUAUUCUCUUCAUUCUCUAUCUCAAAAGUUUUACUCUGUAGUCUCAGCUGACUUGUAGCUGUCUAUGUAGCCAUGUAGACCAAGCUGGGCCAGGAUCACAAAGCUCUCCCUGCUUUUGUAUCCAGCACGGAUGUCUGCAGUAUCAAGCUUACAGUGAUAGCUCUUGAUACCCAUUGCUCUUUCACCCAGGGCAUCAUUCUUCAGCGUUUCCUCUUUGUUCUGGAUUAUUUUCUAAAGGCUUUGCUUGGCACCCAAGGCUCUAACUGAAUUAUUGAAACAAGAAAACAACUUGUAAGUAAAGUGUCUGCAAUAAGUGAGCUUCCAGAGUGACUUUUAAGAAAUAUAAAGAAAACUGUUUUCAGCUAAAAGUAGCAAAGAUCUUCAAAAAUAGAGAAACUUCAUUGAAUAUUUUUAAAUAAUAUUAAAAUUCAUAUACAAUUAUAAGCCAAGAAAAGAAACAAAGUGAAUACCAUGGGUUGCUUCAUUUUUAUUCUCCCGUAAGUCUGUCACACUAAAUUGUCAUGGUAAAAACAAUUUUUCAUUAUUAAUCCUUUGAGAAUCUCAAAAAUGUACGAUGGCCAUAUUCACCAUUCAACUCCUCCCAGAUCUACAUCCCGCUCCCCUACUUACUGGACUAUCUUUUCUCUCAUUUUUGUUCUUGUUCACUUUAAACCCAUUGGUUACAGUUUGUGCUUCAUUAUUCUCCUGGGGAAUAUGGCCAUCUUCAAGAUCAUAGUUAACCUACCACGGUCUGCACAAUUCAUGAAAGCUGACUAUCCCACUCCCAGCAGGUCCCAGUCACCAGGAAUCUGUCAGCUAGAAGUGGGACUCCAUGCCUACCUCCCUACUGCACACUGGCAUUCUAUCUGGCUUGAGACUGAAUGCUCUGCUGUGUCUGGAAAACACUGUUUCUUUGUAUUCAUUCUCUCUCUCUCUCUCUCUCUCUCUCUCUCUCUCUCUUUCUCUCUCUCUCUCUCACUCUCGCUCUUAUUUUUUGUCCUCUCUUCCACAACGAUGUCUGAGACUUGGGAGGGAGGAGUGUAAUAUACAUGUCCCAUUUAGGACUGAGCAUAAUGCAAUUACUCAUUCUCUGUCCAGUGACUAGCUAUGUGACUCUGUGUUAACUUCUAUCUAUUCCAAAAGGAACUUCUAUAAUGAUCAUAUAAAGAUAUAUUCAUCAAUAUAUCUUUAUAUAAGUAUAGGACAUUAGUUAGUAGCUUAAUACUGGGAUAAUGGAGCAGAAUAAUUUUUCAGCAUCAAUGAUGUGACAGAAUAUGAAAAUAUUAAGUACACAGUGCAUUUUCAUUUUAAAGGUGCAAACAGUAGCAAAAUUUUAUGAUAUAAUUAGUAAUCAACAAUACAUAAACAAUAAUUGGCAAAUGACACAAUCAUCAAACAAUGAAAAUUUAAAUUUAGUAAUAAAUUUAUAUUCCUCCUAUAAUUCAGCAUGUCUUAAUUUGAGGUAUUGUAUGCACUGAAACAAGUAUGAUAAUUAAUAUGUAUUACCUCAGUGAUAAUUUAGGAGCUAUGCAUAGUUACUAGCUAAUAUGUUGUAUAAUUUUAUAUAUAAUUCAAUCAUUUCAUUUAAGAGACUUGUCAUUUCCAAAAAUAAAGUCAGUAUAUACUCCAUUUCUAACUAAACUAUCUCACGAUUUUUCGGGUUCUUUAUUAUUAAUUUAUAUUUUUUAAAGCACAUCAUGUCCAAAUUCUCCUCCUAGUUUUUUUACACUAGCAUGAAGAUAUAAAUAAAGGAUUAGUUUGAAUAUUACAUGAAUGUGAAAAACAAUACUAUUUUGUAACAGUUUUUCUGUGACAGUAUUUGAAAUGUUACUUGAAUAGAACACUUUCAUUUUUAUGACUUUGGUUUCAAAAGUUGUCCUAAGCCUGUAUUGAAUCAUGCACCAACUAAGGCCAUAUGGUAUUAAAAAAAAAACAAAAAUGAGGUCUGCAUAUAAAUUUGAAGGAUAAAACCAUUUAUAAUGGAGAAAGUUUUUGUGAGCCUUAAAAGAGAACCAAAAACUAACCUUGUUUCAGAGAACUUUUAAAACACUUUUCAAGAUGAAGACAUGGUGAACAAUGUAACAUGCCGGAAAGAGUUUAGAUGAAUAAAUUUCCAAAUCCAGAAGGUAAGGCCAAAAUGUUCCUCUGAGAGAGAGGUGAAUCUGAAGGCAAACUUCAGCAGAUUGUGUGACUGACAGUAACCUAAGAAACACUGAACUUUUGAGAAAACUGAUAUAAGAAAAAAUUUAAGUAAUAUGUAGGAAUGUAGGAAAGAUUUCUUUUAAGAUAGUAGAGACUAGGGAACUGGUAAAAACUUGAUUUAAUCAAACAAUGAAAAGUAGAAUAAAAUUAAUAUUCUAUUAUUUAAGGAUAUUCACCUCCCCUUCCCAAAACUUCUAGGUCCAUUUUCCUAUACACACAACUUCAAGUUUUCUUGUUUUUUAAACUGUAUUAUUAUUAAUGUUAUUAUUAUUAAUCCAUCAAGUCCAAUUUUAUUGCCCAACUAAUGAUGUGUGGGUCGCUCUCUGUAGUAUGUUCCACCUUCCUAGGGUCACGUUAGUAAAGGAAAUUAGAAGCUCAUUCUCCCCCUCCCAGCAGCUACCAAAUGCCAAUCCCUCCUAGCUCGGGGAAGCUAGGGGUAGGAUUGUGUGUUCAACUUCCUCCCUGUGUGUUAAAGAUUUGUCUUUUUCUAAGUUGCAAAAGUCUUGCACUUCCUGUCACAAUCAAUAUGAGUGUAUACAUAAACUUUCCUGUUAUAUCUGGAAAGCAGUUUGCUGGAAAUCAUACUCCACUUCUAGUUCUUAAAUUCUGAAAUCCUCCUGGAAGAUGGCACAGAAAUAAAUCCAAUCAGAAAUUGAUUGGUUUGCCCCCAUAACAUUCAUGCUUCUGUUUCAACAAUGAGAAUAGCUUGUCAGAUCUGUCAUUAUCGUAGUUCUCAGGAUUCACAUAUGGAUGAGAUUGCUUGCCAAAUCCAACCUGGCUCUGACACUCUAACUGGGGCCAGUGAGAAAAUGAAGAAAGGACAGUGGCACUAAAUAAAUGCUAGAAGUAAAUAUAAAAGUUGGGGUCAGAUGGUCUAUACAUGCUCUGAUAGACUCACACCUAUAACUUCAUCAACCCAGAACCUCAUCUUGUUAUUCUUUACAACACAUGAGGAGGAGUUAGAUAGAUGCAGUAAGAGGUUUCUAUAGGGUACCAGUCUCAUAGGCAAACAUCCAAGAGGAGGAAGCUGAAGUUGCUACUUUGUUUAUACACUGUAGUUAAUCAUUUUCAAGCACUUGUGCUUGGACUGAGAAAGGCUCCAGUUUUAUAUGGAUCCUAUUGUUUGGCCCUUGUCGUAGCUAACUCAUAUAGACAAUAUAGACUGACUCAGAGCCUCAUUUGCUCCCUACAGUUGAGGAUUACUGUGAAAUCCAAUAACAGUACCUUCUAACACUAUUAAAGUUACACAGUAGGGACAAAGUUCUAUGUAAAUUAGAACAAAUUGUAGCAAAACUCAGUAAGCCUUGGGCAAAAUAAAUAAUAAAUAAUAUAAAGAUGAAUGAAUGAGCAUAUCAAGCUUUCCUUCAUAAAAUGCAUUUUUAAAUUAACCAUCAAAAUAUUAACAUUUUCUUGUUGAAGUUAAACUCUUCCAAAUCUCUUGUGUACAGAAUUUAAAUGGUCUCUGUUCUCCAACACUGGGGGACAAACAUCUUUUUAAACAGAAAAUAUUAACUUUAAACAUGAAAACAAUUUGGGUUUAUUUUUGCUGCUCUUGUCUAAGAUAUUCAAGGUUUGGUUUAGAAUUACUUUUUCGUUCCCUAUCUGGAAGGACAAAGAUGCUGCCCUGCUGAGACUUUCAUUAUAUAAUUGAUACUGUCAGUUUAAUGGAAUUAAAAACCCCAAAAACCUUCAUCUUUUUUUCAUUCCCUCACAGUGUUUGAUUGAAAUCUAGGUGAAUUGCAAAUAGAAAUCAGGCGAAAACAAUAAUUGACCCAAAUAACAUAGAACAUUUGACAAUUUAUCUUUUGUCAAUAUGGCCUAAAAUUACUUAUUAUUGGAAUUGUUACAAAUUUUUAAUAAAUGCAUUUUAGAUAGGAAAACUACAUUAAAAGGGAUAUUUUGCCUGUCCUUGUCACUAAGAUUUAUUACCAUAUUUUAUAUAUAUAUAUAUAUAUAUAUAUAUAUAUAUAUAUAUAUAUAUAUAUAUAUAUAAUAUUUUCUUGCCUGCAUUUAAUCUUUAUUAUGUAGAAGGCAGAAAUACUUGACAGCCCUUGAGCUAUUAUUUUAUCAAAAAGUAACAUUUGAG